GGGGUAGCACAAUAUAAUUGUCAGUAGGCAGCUAAGGACGAUGUCUAUAAGUGGAGUGUAGCAUAGUUGUUCGUUUCUUUCUGGCUCCCAAAGAUCCAAGUCAGGGCUGCAGUGAUGAGAGGUCUCUCACAAAAGGGGUAGGGCAUACAGAUGAUGCUUCUUACCGAGGUCUAUUGAGAGAGCUCGGUCAUGAGGCAAUGUAUAUUUCUAAAGAUGAGCGCUGAGGACAAUGGCCGAGAUGGUAAGACCCCGUAAUAGCUUUAAAUACAUGUAGAGUAAAAUUAUCACAUGGAGUGGAAAACAAAUGUUAAAGUCAAAGGA
rnacentral:lncRNA from 1 species